GCUGGGUGUGGUGGUGCAUGCCUAUAGUCUCAGCUACUCAGGAGGCUGAGGUGGGAGGAUCGCUUGCGCCCAGGAAUUUGAGGCUGCAGUGAGCCAUAAUCGUGCCACUGCUCUCCAGCCUGGGUGACAAAGUGAGACCCUGUCUCAA
rnacentral:SRP_RNA from 1 species